GGAAGGUGAGGAGACCUUCUACUUGUGCUUGAGAGGGAGCCACCAGAAGAGACACUUGCCCAGAAAUGUCUGGGGCACGCCAGUCUGUGUUGGCUGUGGCCCAGCCUGCCU
rnacentral:miRNA from 1 species